AACGAACGCUGGCGGCAUGCCUAACACAUGCAAGUCGAACGAGACCUUCGGGUCUAGUGGCGCACGGGUGCGUAACGCGUGGGAACCUGCCCUUAGGUUCGGAAUAACUCCCCGAAAGGGGUGCUAAUACCGGAUAAUGUCUUCGGACCAAAGAUUUAUCGCCUUUGGAUGGGCCCGCGUUGGAUUAGCUAGUUGGUAGGGUAAAAGCCUACCAAGGCGACGAUCCAUAGCUGGUCUGAGAGGAUGAUCAGCCACACUGGGACUGAGACACGGCCCAGACUCCUACGGGAGGCAGCAGUGGGGAAUAUUGGACAAUGGGCGAAAGCCUGAUCCAGCAAUGACGCGUGAGUGAUGAAGGCCUUAGGGUUGUAAAGCUCUUUUAACCGGGAUGAUAAUGACAGUACCGGGAGAAUAAGCUCCGGCUAACUCCGUG
rnacentral:rRNA from 1 species